UUCAAAACAGGGUAAAAAACAGACAAGGACAAACACAAGUGCCGCUAGUAGAGACGAAACACAUUAAUUUUAUCAGGUGCCACGCAUGUUGUAAAGUCUGACAGCAGAGGGAAUGAAGGACCUGCAGAACCGUUCCUUCCUACACUGAGGGUGCAAAAGUCUGCCGCUAAAGGAGCAGCUCAAGGUUGUUGUCUUGCCAUUU